rnacentral:lncRNA from 1 species
AUCUCCAAGAUGUGACCACACCUAGACCUUGCCUUGCCAAUAGGGCCUGAGUGACCUUAAACUUUUCAAGAACUUGUGGGUUAGGGAGAAUAAUUUGAAGAGGUGAAGAAGUAUGAUAUCCAUGGGACAUCAUCUUCAUUAGGAAACCUUGUUUCAAGAGAUUUGGGAAGAUCAUAGGUGUCUAAACCAGACAUCUUUUGGGAGAUAUUCAAGAUAGUUGAUUUAAAGUCCUUAAUAUGACACCCAAUAUGAAAUAUUAAGGCUAGGACCCAACAAACUAUUUUAUAACUUAGAAGAGGUAUGCCGUAAUCCAAGCUAUAAAAUAUUUGAAGGUAGGUGAAUGACGAUUCACCAAUUUCCACCAAGAUAAACGAAAUGUAUUAUUAGGUUUUAAUUGGUUUUGAAACUCCUAGAUCUUUGAGAUUCAUUGAACUUUUCAAAGGCAUGUUUCAAUCUCGAGUGUGCCCUUCAGGUUUUGUGACUGGGAUGCCGAGGAUCACAAAACAAGGUGUGAAGUAACCAUGCAAAUCACUUGGUACCCUUAAUAAAUUACCCCUCAAUCGAUGUGCCGGUUAACCACACACGCUCCAUCGAUACUAUGAUAAAUAUUAAGUCACCCUUUACCUACCUUGUUAAGUCCAAGUUAGUGUGCCGGUUAACCACACACGCUCCACUAACGACUUAGACAAAGUGUAAAGUGUAAUUUCAUGGAUUAGCACCUUAUUCACAUUUUUCCUAAGUAACUAAGAUUGGGUAUUAUUAAGAGUUUAGUUACUUAGUAUUAUCAUUAAUACUUUUAAUGAAGGGAGAAUUCUAGUCCUGUCAAACCCGUUCGGCUAACGACCCUCCACCAGUCAAGCAAGCGGUGGGUGAGAGUGGACACCCAUUAAGUUGCCAUUUUAUAGGCAACAACCUUAUACCCACCUUAUAGACCGGCUUCGUGAAUGAGGCGUACUAGCGGUAAGACUGACUUUACUCUUAUACAUAUAUAUAUUAUUAACUUAUAAUAUUAUAAAGUAUAAGGGUUGAAUUUUAACUUUUAAAAUUCUAAGGGCUAACUUGGAAUUAAAGUAUUCAUACUUGAAAACUUUUCAAAUUCCAAAACUUGAGGGCAAGUUUUGAAACUAUUCAAAACUAAUUAAUUCCAUAACUUAUGUGUUUAAAGUAGUUUUAAUCCAAAAACUCUUCAAGUUCCAUAACUUGAGGACAAGUUAUGGAAGACUUUAAACUAAUAAAAGAACUAACUUUUUCUUUAUUUUAUAACUUAUGGAUUUAAUUAUGGUUACAUAUUUUUCUUUAAUGAAGUGACUCUUGAACUUCCAUAACUUGAGGACAAGUUAUGGAGUCAAAAAAAAUUAUUCAAUGACACAAGACUCUUCAUUUUGUAACCAUUGCCAACUUUUAUGAGUUUUAUGAGUCUUUAAUGUGACUCUUCAUGUAACUUGAGGACAAGUUACACAAACACAUUUUAUACUCAACUCUUAGAUUAAAAUGGAUUGAAAACAACUAUUUCACUCAACUUUUCUAUUAAUCUAAGCAACUCAUAAGAACAAGAUAAUUCAAAUCAAACUUUUUCAUGUAAUUAGUCUAAACCUUAAACUAAUACAAAACAUGAAUCUAUUGACAAUUAUCUUUGAAAAUGGAUUAGCAUGAACAUUACCACAUCAAAAACAAGUUUAUAAGUUCAAAAACAACUUAGGGUAAUGUUCCUAGUCCAUUUCUAGCCAAAAAACUCGAAAAUAUGCUGUCUGGGGGUCCAACUCGUCGAGUGCAUGAACAAACUCGGCGAGUUGGAUCGAAUUCAUCACUUUUUAGGCAUGGACUCGUCGAGUCUCCUGAUGGACUCGCCGAGUCUGAUGGCCAGACAGCACCAGAUUCGUUUUUUCAGCUUCUAUUGCAGGUAUAACAAGAAAACAAGCCUAGGCUCUGAUACCACUGUUGGGUUUUGAGCAUUCUAACACUCCUAAGUGUACAUGCAACCCUAAAUACCUUGGAUCUAUGUUUUCUCUAUUAUACAUGCAAAUAUGAACAUCCAAGGUAUUAUCCUAAUCUAGCAUACAAAACAAUGAAUAUAACAAGAUAGAAUACAUACCUCUUUGAUGUAGAAAGUCUUCAUGAAGCUUGAGUGCCUAGUGCCCCAAGUGUGACACCUCAAAUGGUUCACACAACACCAAAUACACUUGGAAUAACUUGAGAGAAUUCUACACUUCAUGAAAAUCGGCUAGCCAUUUCUUACUCUCUCUAGUGGCUGAUUUUGGUGAAUAAUAUGAUGCUUAUAUAGUUAGGGUUACACCAUGUAAACCCUAAUUGACAUGGCCUUUCAUUUCCAUGAUCCAUGGGUACAAAACACCAUGAAGCAUCCAUGGAGAAUCAUAUGGGUUUAGCCCAACUUGAUAAUCCAUAGAGCAUUAGCCCACUAUAUAAGUAUGGAUGAUUUACACAAUCAACCCAUAUAUUUAAUUAGUCUUCUUUUGAUCACUUAAUUAAUCCUAGAUUAAUUCUUGAUCAAUACUAAUUAAAUAAUCUUAUUAUUCUUAUUAUUAAUAUACUAGAACUUAUAAUAUAUUAAUAACCAUAAGUGUCUUAUUUCUCUCAUUUUAGUCUAUCCAAGUGCAUGAUGCCAUGCAACCCAAAUGGAACAUGCCUAGUCGGGUCAAGUCUUACCAAUUAUAGUUAUGGACUUAGACAUUAAUCCAACAUGAAUUUCGAUUUAUAUACUAGAUCUUAGGAUUUGUUGCUUUGGAAUUCCAUUUGCAUGUUCAACUACUUAAGAACAUAGAUCCAAAGCAAUUAGGGUUGCAUGAACACAUAGGUUGUAGUUAUGCUCAAAACCCAUCAGUUUUGUCACAACUCUUAACUUCUCCAUCAGCAUCACUAUCAAGACAUGCCUAAAAGGAGUUAAGUCUGUUCGAGUCAAGUCUGCAAUUCUCAGGAAUAAUUUCCUCGAUAACACAAUAGUUUGCAGCCUUAGAGUUUGGAAGAUAAACUCUAGUGCCCCUAUGCCGUGUGGAAUUACCGAAGCCUGAUUCAGGUCUAGGGAUAUAAGAGGCUGAAGUUGCAUGGAAUCAAGGCAUGUAACAGUGAUUGGUUUGAAAUCAAGAAUCAAUGAUUGAUAUCCUUUCAAAGUCUCUUGAAGCGACAACAAUGUUGAGACAUGAGUAUCCGAAAAUGUAAGGUUUGGAAUGUCUACCACAAAUGUUAGAUUUUGAAGUUUCUUAAUAGGACAAUCAACAUGUUUUGAAAACUCGCUUCCAAGACUAGGUUCUUUGGACAAAGGAUGAUGAAAAUUUUGAGUCAUUAGUCCAUUUUAUCCAAUCAUAUCAAAGGAAUUAUGCAAAUUAUCAAUAUUAGCAUUAAGACACAUGUUAUAAUUAGAAAGAAGAUUUGCUUCACAAACUAAAAUCACACGUUUUUCAUUUAUAAUAAUACAUUAAUCCCUAGCUAUUACAUUUUCAUGUUCUAAGGACUCUAUCUUAAGCUUGCGAUCUUCAAAGCAUAAUCUAAGAAUGGAUAAUUUACUCUCCAACUUCUCACUCACAUUUAUGGCAUACUCAUAGGCUUUAAGAAUCAUUGUCAUAUCUAACUUGAUCUGAGUUAGAUAAGGUUCACAAACAGAUAAAUAAAAAUUAUUUUCAGCAAUCAUAGAUUUUACCUAUCAGAUGAUGCUUCUAUCCGGUGGGUCGGUUGUUUCCAUAUAGUAGUAGUUAGGCUCAACAUCCUCAUCUCCAUCUUCUGAACUUGAAGACACAUAGCCUUGAUCACACUCAAUGGUUUUUAUAGCCAUAAGACACAAAUUUCUCCAAGAGUUUCCUUCACCCAUAUCACCAGGUCACCAAUACCCAUUAACAUUCUGGGAAAUUGUAUUUACAAAUGCUUUUUCACCAGAUGACCAAUACCCAUUAACAUUCCAACACCAUACAAUCUUGGUUUUGGCUAGAGUAAAAAUUUCUUGAGGUUUCGAGGAGUGAUUCGAAAGGUUAGGUAGAUAAGUUGGUGGAUUUUCAGUAGGUUUGCAAUAAGGUUGAGGAUUGUUUUUGUGAGGAGCUGAAAAUCUAUUCGGAUGAGGUUUUUUAAUGGGAUUCCAUAGUCACAUGUAUUUCAUUGUUAGAAGAGAAAACUCUUUUUGGAAACAAAGUUCGGCAUCUGUAGCUUCUGUGUCACACCCCCAAACCGGAACGGCGGAAACAUUCGGGGGCGGAGGACGUCAUGUUUAGUAUCACAAGGCAAUGCAUCAUAGUAAUCGAAGUAAUAAACAACCAUUUCAUUAGAAAGAAAAUAUUUACAAAGUAUGUGGUUCACAAAACAUAUGUAAAUAACAAACAAGACAAGAAGUUAUUAUGCUCCAUCUUCUGAAUCCCAGUGUGCGUACCUGUCUACUAGUUUCCUGAGAAUACAAGUUAUUUUGAAAGAGUAGAUCAACAUUUAAGCUGGUAAGUUAAUAAGAUUUUAGUGAUGUAAGUAAGUUGUAAGUUCUUUUUAGAAAAGUUCGCCUGUUCCUCAAGAAGAUCCUAUAUCUUAUGAUAUGAUGAAAGAUAAGUAAAAAAUGACUCUACAAUCCUUUCUAUGAGUAUUAAAUGGAUACAAGUUAUAUAAAAACCAAAGUAAACAAACAAUUGGUUGUGUGAAUCUGCCCUAAGCCCACAACCAAAUAAGGAAUAGGAAAUGAGGCGGAAGUCGCACAUCCCAUUGUUUGUUAGGUCUUCAUUUUAUAUAACCCUGGUGUAUUGACUUGGUACUCAAGAAGUUUAUUGUAAUGGUUCCUCUAUAUUUGGUGAAAACAUUCUUUAAGGAAAACCCUUAUUUCCUUUAGUAAAAUAGUAACCACAACAGUUCCGUCUAUAAUCAUUUAGUUUAUACUAGUUAUAUAUAAUCUAAUAUCUAACAGAUAGUUAAUUGUGUGAAUCUUCCCUAAGCCCACAACCAAACAAGGAAUAGGAAGUAAGGCGGAAAUGACAAAUAUAACUACCUAUCAGAUACUAAUUAUAUAUAACCCUGAUGUAUAAACUAAGGUAUUAUAGAAUUAACCACUUAAGGUCGUUUAAGUUAUAUUGGUUUAGUAAAAUGGAUUAAACCCUUUACUGGUAUGUUUAUAGUUUAGUUUACUCAUGAUAUAUCUGAAACUAUGUUUUUGUACUAGAAAACGAUGUAUUGAGUUUGUAUCCUAUAAUGUGACCUAUACCUGGUAUUCCUUAUGAUUACUUGGUGUAUACGGAAUAUAUAUAGCUAAGAUCGAAAAAAUAGUAGACUGGGUGUAUCUGCUCUAAGCCCACAACCAAACAAGGAACAGGAAAUGAAGCGGAAAGCACACAUCCUACUAUAUGUCGGACCUCAUUAAUACAUAUCCCUGAUGUAUAAACUAAGGAAUCAUAAAGCUAGCAUUAUAGUCUCCUUUCUACUGAAUGUACUAAGAUUCGACUGUUUUGUUUGUCUUUUGUAAUGAUGUAAGUUUUCAUUAAUGUUUGUAAAAGUGACUACUGAAGCACUAACUACCUUAAAAUCAGUUUGAUAAAUAAGGUUGAAUGUGAUGUGAUUAUAACCAUACUGAUAUGACAUGUGAUUUAGCACAACGACCUAAAGGCACUGAAACUGAUGUGACAUUUGUCACUCGUAGACUUACAAGCCCCACUAUAGCUACUAGCAAGGUGUGGGGUGUCAAUCCCGUAUAGAUCUAUACACAAACUCAUGCUCUCCCUCUAGGAGACUCUGGUUACAAAACGCAACCUAACAAGUAUAUUGCUAAGUUGUGAAGUAGUGGCUCACAUUACUGUUAUAGUAUUCUUGUUCUAGUGUAUUGUAAGUUCUCUUUGUAUAGUGUAUAGUAUGUUCCUCCCUAUUUCUCAUUAUAGUAUGUUCCUCCUUGUUUCUCAUUAUAGUAUGUUUGAACUCCUAAACCAUACCUAUUAUAGUUUACUACUAUGUUUACUUGAUCUGUUUCUGACUUGAUGAAAAAACUCAUUUCACUACUAAGUUAUGAUUGUACUUUAAAAAUGAAGUUUUAUAAACUAUAAAGUAACAUAACUUAAAAAGAGCUUUUGAAAUGAUUUGAUCACUUAUAAAAGUAUAAGAAAUCCUUCUGAACAUGAUGCUUAUAACAAAUAAUAUUUACACAAUUAUCAUUGUGUUCAACUUGUAUCCCCCCCUUUUAAAAGCAUUUAAAACAUUUAAAAGAUUGAUUAUAGGGUAUGAACUCACCUUAUGUGGUUGAUUCAAUCGAAUAUGCGCGUAAGGAUGAGAAGUUCCACGAAUGAAAUCCCCAAGACACAAACGAGUCCUAAUGACAUAUAAUGGCAUAUAUUGACAUGAAUUUAGUGUUUAAAGCAAGUAACAUGCAAGGAAACACCCUUAGGGACUCGGAAACACUGGAAACUAAGUGUUUCAAUCAUAUGUGAUUGUAUUAUGGGUUUUACGGCCACACCUAGGUGUUUACGGCCAUGAUGUUUACUGUCUAGGGUGUUUACGGCUAAGGGGUUUACGCCCAAGGGAGUUUACGGUCGUAAACUCCUGGAGAUCUCCUUCAAAACGUUUGUUCCAGGUCUUUAGGCUAAUGAUUCUACUAGGUAGCAAGUGUAUGGAAGGAAUACUAAUGAUUAAGAAGCUUUAAAAGGGUUCACGGCCACCAAGAACAAGUGUGUAUUCUUGGUGUUCUUGGUGAAAGUUGAUGAUCUUGAAGAUCUAACAAAAAGAGGUGAUUUCAUGAAUGAAUCAAGAGAUGCUUACAAGGCCAAGAAGGAAUAACAAGAAGGAUGGAUGAAUCACUUAUAAUUUUUGAAGAUCAAGACGAAGAUCCUUAUGAUACUUGAGAGAGAAAUCAAGUGUUCUUUAGAUGAAAGUGUAAGAAAUGAAUAAAAGUGAAGGAAUAUGAUACUUAUGGGCAUGAGUUCAUGGCUUGCAACAGUUUACGGCCGUAAACUCCUUGUUUGCGGCCGUAAACUCCUUGAGAUGGAGUUUAUGGCUUGAAUGAUGUACAAUGAACUCAAGUAGAUACUUCCUAACACUCAUUCCUUGGAUGUAUUAGGCUUAGAACACUCAAACAGACCCUUACCCAAGAUAAAAGAUAGCAGAAACGAGUUAGACAUUUGAUUUGAUUGAUUGACUUUACUGGAUUGAAAUUUUUGGGUUGUCACAUUCUGGAUCAAAAUUUUCUUCAUAAGGGAAAUUUAGAACAGGUGAAACAGGUUGAGUAGGUUGAAUAGGUGGGACAACAUUGAAUGGAUUCGAGAUAGUUGGGUUAGGAAGAAGUGGAUUUAUGGAACUGGCGAGAAUGAAAGGACCUCUAGAGAGUUCUUUUAAGGUUUGAGGAACAUUAGGCUCGUGACCUUAUAGUUUGUCAAACAACUGAUAGAGCUUCAGUUACUUCACUAAUCCAUUACGCUGAAAAGAAGACAAGGCAUUUCCCCAUCCUUUUCUGAGACUUUUGAUAAACAUUAGAUUGUACUGAAGAGGGGUUUGGAUAACACCAUGUGUGUUCAUGUUGUGCGCCACUAUUCUAUACGAAAUUGAUGCAGAGUCAAUAGAUGCACCAGGAGUGGUAGUGAAAGUAUCAAAGUCAUUCACUAUAGAUGUCAAAUGCUUACCCUUCAUGUUUGUCGAUACUUCAGACAGAUCUUAAAGUGUGUCCCAUAUCUCCUUUGCAGAUAUACAUAACUUAAUGUACUCCAGGAGAAAUGGUGGAACACCAAACAUGAUUCCCAAAAGUAGAAUCUGGUAUGCAUGGAUUUUCUUGACAUCAUUGGCAGCUAGAGGUGUUGGUCGGAGCUCGUCUUGGCCUAUGAGAGUGGCAACAACAUCUCUAACCAUUUACCUAAUAGGUACAUGACGACCUUCUUUCACAAACCUUCAUAUUUCUUGAACUUUUUCUUUACCAACCAAAAAUCUCUCGAUUCUAACAUUCCAGUGAUCAAACUCAGCAAUGGGCCUCGUGACGAGCAACCCACGCUAUUUGUGAUUUGCAUUGAAUACAUUUGUUGAGAUUGAUUCGAAGCAGCCAUUGAUGUUUAGAUAUAACAGUUGAAGUGCUAUAUAGAAGAACUGUUAUCCUAAACACAUAAAUGAUUGAUAUACCAAGGUAAUCUUCAACCAACUAUAAUAUGUUCUUAUAGAUUCAAAGGACAACCUGUUAGGAUUUGAUACCAAUUGUGAAAACAAGGAUUUGUGCGGACAAGGUUUGAAAACUCAAACCAUAAGUUAAAUAACGUAAAUGGUUGCUAAUAAUAUUAAGUCCAGUCUAGUUUAGAUGAACCAAUCAACCUUGAAGAAUAUAACUGAACAAAGUGCUCCAAUAAAGUAAAGUAUGAACAAUGAAAAAUAUUAAGAACAAGAAGAAUGUUAGAGAGAGAUGAAUGACUUAAUAAUUCUUGAUUUGAGUGAAAUGAAGUGGUUACUGUUUACAAGGUUUGACACUCCUUUUAUAACCAAGGAGUUAAAAAAAGACAAAUACAAAUAAAGUGUCUAUGGACUGAAGAUUAGUAACUUGACACUAGAUAAAAAAAUAGUAAAGUGUCUAUGGACUGAAUAAUUCUUGUCAGUUGUACGUCACUAGAUAAAAAAUAGUAAACAACAAAAAGUACUUUUACUCUUCUUAUGCAUAAAAUUCUACUCAUCCCUAAAACAACAUGAUCCUGGAACUCUAUUCUAUUCGGAAACCUUCUCGUCUUGAACUAUACAUCAUGUCAGAAAUAGGCAUUUUGGUUCGGAUUUAUUAUGGGUCACUUUUCAUGCACUAAUAGGAUCCGAUGAGGAUUCAAAAAAAGUGAUGAAGACAAGGACAAUUCUACACCAUUCACUUCUUUGGUAGCACAAACGUCAAACCCAAUACUUGGAUGUGACACAUUCACAUGUGACGCACGUCCAUGGUAAUUAAUACAGACUAGAGAAUUUAAUCACAUGCGACGAAUAUCAAUGAAACGUCAUUUAAGAAAGUUUAUUACUUAUUUUUGUUACUUUUAUUUUAUUUUAUUUUUAAAAAAAAAAUUAUAUAUACUCGGUUUUAAGUUUUAUAAUUUUAUUUUUCGUAUGUUUUUCUAUUUUUCCGUUUUUUUUUCGUUCUUUUGUGUUUUUUUUAUUUCUUUACUAUAUAUUUGAAGGUACUAGUAUUUUUUUUACUUUUAUUUUUCUUUUUUAUUUACUUUUUGAUUUUUUAUUCUUUUAAAGUAAAUAUCGGUUUGAGUUUUGAAUGUUUAUCAAUUAUAAAAGUUUAAAAAAAUAAAAAUAUUAGGCGUCAUAAUACUUUACGUUCAUAUUAUUUUUAGAUCAUUAAGUUUUGAAUCAAAUUAUUUUGAAUCAUAAUAUUUUGGAUCAUAUUAGUUUGGAAUCAUAUGAUUUUGGAUCAAUAAUAUCUUCAAUUAAGUAAAUGUUUUGUUCAUUAACAAAAUUUUAAUCAUUAUAUAUUUCAAAUCAUUUAUUUUUAAAUUAUUAAAGAUAUAAAUAAAGAUCAUAUAAUAUGAAUCAAAAUAUUUUUAGAUAAUAACAAUUUAAGGAUCAUAAAUAUAUUGAAUCAUAACUUUUGUUAAAUCGUAAAUAUUUUGAAUUAUUUGAUUUUAAAUCAUAUUAUUUUCAAUAUUAAAAACAAUUAUAAUCUUUUAAAAUAAGAUUUGGUAUCUUAACAACCUCAUUUAUACAAAUUUCUUUUCAAAAAUUUUAUAAUAUGAUGUAUGAUAAAACUAUAAAAAGAUUUUUACAUUGGAGAACCAAAAUUCCCACGUGUUAUUUUUAAUAAAAAUUUAAAACCAUUUAUACAAACGUUUGUAUAUUUAAUAAUAUAUAUUUUUUAAAAAAAAUUAUAUUAUAAACUAACUAAAAUAGUAUCAUGAAGAACUUUAUCAUUUGUUUUUUUUUUUUAAUUUUAUUAAAAUUUCUUAUAUAUUUUAGAAAAACAAUAUUUCUUAAAAUUAAAUAAAUACAACAAAAACUUAACUUAAAAAAAUUAGUUUUUGAAACAGUAUAAUGAGUAGAAACAGACAUUAACUUUUCAUGAUUUUUGAAGAAUUUAUUUUUUUGUAUUUUUUUUAUAAAAAAAUUAAAGAACUAAGAAAAUAAUUUUUAUCAAAAUUUCAUGGUUAUGCUCAGUUUAUAGAGAAUUAAAUUUUAAAUACUUUAUUUUUGAAUUUUAUAAAAGAAAAAGUUUUAUGACCAAAAAAACAAAAUAAGUGGAAAAAAUCCACCAAUAUGACACAAUCAGGUGAUACAAAGAGAGAAAACCAAAAGAGAUGAUGUUAUGAGACACAACCAAGUGAUACAAAGAGAGGAAACGAAAAGGGGCAGAUGAUGCUUAUGUUGUAUGCGUAUUUAUCAUUUUUUUUUUCUUUUUGUCUUUUGUCUACUUAACUAUAUAAUAAUUAAUUUUUUUUGGAAAAUACCAAAAUCUCAUAAAUAAUUACAAAAAUGAAAUAUCAUAUCACGAGAUUUUGACAACAAAUAAAAUUAAAUUCUAACUUAUUAUUUUCAAUCUUACGACAUAGAUUUAUUAUCGCGGUUCUCAUAAAUAUAUUAAUUCCUCACCCAAUCAUAAUUUCUCUCUCUAUCUCUCUCUCUCUCUCUCUCUCUCUCUCUAUAUAUAUAUAUAUANNNNNNNNNNNNNNNNNNNNNNNNNNNNNNNNNNNNNNNNNNNNNNNNNNNNNNNNNNNNNNNNNNNNNNNNNNNNNNNNNNNNNNNNNNNNNNNNNNNNNNNNNNNNNNNNNNNNNNNNNNNNNNNNNNNNNNNNNNNNNNNNNNNNNNNNNNNNNNNNNNNNNNNNNNNNNNNNNNNNNNNNNNNNNNNNNNNNNNNNNNNNNNNNNNNNNNNNNNNNNNNNNNNNNNNNNNNNNNNNNNNNNNNNNNNNNNNNNNNNNNNNNNNNNNNNNNNNNNNNNNNNNNNNNNNNNNNNNNNNNNNNNNNNNNNNNNNNNNNNNNNNNNNNNNNNNNNNNNNNNNNNNNNNNNNNNNNNNNNNNNNNNNNNNNNNNNNNNNNNNNNNNNNNNNNNNNNNNNNNNNNNNNNNNNNNNNNNNNNNNNNNNNNNNNNNNNNNNNNNNNNNNNNNNNNNNNNNNNNNNNNNNNNNNNNNNNNNNNNNNNNNNNNNNNNNNNNNNNNNNNNNNNNNNNNNNNNNNNNNNNNNNNNNNNNNNNNNNNNNNNNNNNNNNNNNNNNNNNNNNNNNNNNNNNNNNNNNNNNNNNNNNNNNNNNNNNNNNNNNNNNNNNNNNNNNNNNNNNNNNNNNNNNNNNNNNNNNNNNNNNNNNNNNNNNNNNNNNNNNNNNNNNNNNNNNNNNNNNNNNNNNNNNNNNNNNNNNNNNNNNNNNNNNNNNNNNNNNNNNNNNNNNNNNNNNNNNNNNNNNNNNNNNNNNNNNNNNNNNNNNNNNNNNNNNNNNNNNNNNNNNNNNNNNNNNNNNNNNNNNNNNNNNNNNNNNNNNNNNNNNNNNNNNNNNNNNNNNNNNNNNNNNNNNNNNNNNNNNNNNNNNNNNNNNNNNNNNNNNNNNNNNNNNNNNNNNNUUUUUAGAGGCUACACAUUUUGUCUUUUCUUGUUUUAGCAAAAUAAGACCACAUGGUCCUUAAGAUCUUUAUUUUUCACCCACAAAUUUGGUUGAAUAUCAUCACCAUUUCAGGACCAUAGAGGAGUUAAGUUGUCGGAUUUUGACCGUUCCACUUAAUUCAUAUAUUCAUUCAAAAAGAAAAAAACAAUAGUUACUUAUAUGUGAAACUUUUAGUGGAAAACUAAGAGCCAAAUAACUUUUUAAAAUUUCUUGUAAAUUAUGAUGAUAUAUAGAAUGUUAAAUGUUUGUUCAAUUUCUAUUGAAUACAUAAUUUGAAAUGUUCCCUUAAAAGAAAGACUUACUUAUGAAUAACAUAGUUGUUUGACGAAGUAAUCUAUGGAUUGACCGAAACAACUUUCAAAGUAAUCAUAGUUUUGGAGUUGUGGAUUUCAUUUGUUGAUUUCCUUUUAUCAUUCACCUUGACAAAAUGCUAGUGGGUUUUGGGACUUCGGUCGAUGGAACCAUAGUUUUGAAGAUUUUUUGUUAUGAUAGACAGAGAAUUCUUUGACUUGAGGUUGUGGAAAAUAAGCCUAUAAUUACAACAAGUAAGUAAUAUUUAUGUAAUUAGUGUUAGAUUUUGGAUUUUAUGAAUACCAAUGAUAACAUGGAUAACACAAAGAUUGUGUUUUAUGUAUACGUUUUCUAAAAUCUACGAUUUCAAUCCUAUAGUUUGGGGUAUCAUGAAAUCUGAUUUAGGAUAAUCCAAGAAUAAUCAAAUAGUAAUUCAUGCUUUUUCCAAAUCCAAAACACAGAAUAUACCUGUUAUUUUGUGUUUUAGAGAAACAAAGAGAUGCAAAGAAAUCAAUAUUUGGUUAUACUUAAGUUUUAACCUUUGCAUGCAACGUUCAUCUUCCUUUUAUACAUAGAAGACGGCGAUUAAGGUUGAUUAUGAAGAGAAAACCUCCAUUACAUCAUCAUCAUGUAAUUACUGGAUUUUAGUGGAACUCCAGCUAGGGGCAAAGCCCCUAGACCGCGAUAGGGGCGAUGCCCAGGACCCCCAUAUUGUCGAGUCCAAAUUUAUUACAUCGAGUAUGCACCCCACACAUCUAUCCUUAGUGGGUAUAUUAAACCCACCGAAUCUUUAUAAUAAUGCUAACUAUACUAAAAUAUGUUGAUAACACUAAAAUCACCAACAUUCUUCCAUAUUUUAGUCUUGUAACGACGUGAAAAUUUAAACAAUUUUUCAUUUUUCAAACAUAACAUUUCUCAUAUAAAUCAACUCAAAACACAAGUGUAUCAAAUGUUAUCACGGUAACUCAUAUCCCAGAAUCAAAGUACAAAAUCAUCUGUCAGUGUGUACAAAUCAUGUCGGCGCCUUCGCAUGAUCCUCGGUAGUACCUGAAACACAUAUCGCAUAACACGGUAAGCAUAUAUGCUUAGUGAGUUCCCCAAAAUACUACAUAUAGCACAUAAGCCACUCGAGGCUAUAGCUCUACAAGACCUUUCGGUCCAUACCAUAUUGACCUUCCGGUCCAUCCACUGCUGACCUUCCGGUCCAAACCCUGUUGACCUUCCGGUCCAUACAAUACUACUCAUAACAUACAUAACAUAUGCAUAUCACAUAGAAACAUAUAUCACAUACUCGUCAUAGCACAUAAGACCUUCUGGUCACACAUAAUUACCAUUCUAGGUAAGGUAUAAUGAGAGGACUCACCUCGUAUGAUGUCUAGUAACUCACGUGCUCGAAUCCCCGAACUCGAAACAAUGACCUAGCCCCCGCCUAAUUACAUAAAGUGAUUAUCUCAAAUCAAUAACGACUCUCAAGGCUAGACCAAUCCCUCCCUAUGUUCUCUCAGAAGGCUAAAAGACCAUUUUACCCCUGUAAUGGUCCAAAAGUCCAUAUGUUGACCAAAUCUUAAAAGUCAAUGAAAGUCAACUAUAGGGAGUUAUGUUGCGUAUACCAGCUCUGUACGCGGGGCAUAAUAUGCCGUCAUCCAGAAUCGGGGUACUCGACCCCCUACGCGGUGCGUACUGGGAUUACGCCCAUCGUAAUGCCCAGUUUCCUACUUUCAUGAUUUUUGGUCUGAAUAGAUUAAGACAUAAGCUCAUAUCUCAGAUCUAGGCACUCUACUAUCUCUUAAGCCAUAAAGUCGAAACCUUUAGGCCUUUGCAUGUCUUAAUCUUAACAUCCAAGAUUGGAUUUUUAUGGAUCUACAACACAAAAUACAUUGAAAUGGGGUAGAUCAAGGUCCAUGGAGUUCCUUUGCUCAAAAAAUCUCCACCUUUGGGACUUAAACCCUAAAAAUGCUCCUAUAUGAUGUUCAUAACAAAAGAGUGGUAAAGUUUGAAGCUUUUUACCUUUAUGAGAAGCUCCCUACUCAGUUAAGCUCAGAUCUAGAAGCUUGGACUCCAAUCCUUCCUCUUCAAGGCCAUCUCUUCUUCUUCUUCACAAACACACAAAGACACUUUAAAGCUCCAAAAACACACACACACACACAUAAAAGUUUAGAACAAGGUUUAACUCCUUUAGGGUUUCACUCGCUGGAAUGGUGGUUGGGAUGGAGCCCAUAGCAUUCCUUUUAUAGUGCACAAGUCUCAUUUAGGGUUUCAUGACUGAGCCCAGUACGACCGACGUACACUAUGGUACGCCCAUCGUACUUGGUAGCACCUACGUCAAGAUCACGCUCAUGAGUACAUGCAACGUACUCUUCAGUACGCCCAACGUACUUAUUUGAUACUUUCCUUCCAUGGACUAGUUUUGAAAACUUGGAAAAGAAAAGGGAUUAAAUAGAUAUACCUGAUUCCUAGACGUUACAGUUCUCUCCACUAGGAUCAAACUUCGUCAUCGAAGUCUCACUCUGCAAAUAACUCUGGAUGCUGCUCCUGCAUCUCCGACUCCGGCUCCCAAGUCAGCUCGGACCCUCUCUGAUAUUGCCACUGGACCUGAACUAAAGGCACCUCCUUGUUCCUCAAAACCUUGAUCUGCCGAUCCAAGAUCACAAUCAGCCUCUCAUUGUAAUCCAAGCUCGCCUCUAGCGACACUACCGCCGUCUCAUCGGCUAUACACUUCCUUAACUGGGAUACGUGGAAGGUAUCGUGGAUAUGAAUCAACUCCUCAGGUAUCUCGAAACGGUAUGCUACCUAGCCCACUAUAGUGAUCACCCUGAAAGGACCAAUGUAUCGGGGCCCCAACAUGCCCCUCUUCCUAAACCGGAUCACUCCUUUCCAAGGAGAUACCUUCAGGAAUACAAAGUCUCCAACCUGGAACUCGAGUGUGGAUCGUUGCCUAUCCUCAUACAUCUUAGUGGCCCCGGGAUGGAUCGAGAAUCUCGAUUUGUGCGCCUCCUCCAUCAAUAUGCUACGUGCCCCGCCCAUAAACUGUUGGGUUUUGGUAUACUACAACAUCCUAUGGUGCACAUACAACCCUAACUACCUUGGAUCUAUGUUUUCGCUAAUUAUACAUGCAAAUGAUUUUCAAGGUAUUAAUCUUACAACUAGCAUGCAUUUAACAUAAAAAAAUAUAAUAUACUAGUUAGCAUGAUGUACCUUUUGAUGGAGCUUGAAUUCUUGGUGUAUUUGGCCUUAAAGAGCUUAGCCCCAAUAGUGUGGAAGCCUCAAAUGGAAUCACAACACACCAUGGACAAAGGAUGAACUUGAGAGAGAAUUCCAUGCACACAAAAGACGCCAUGAACUCUAAAAAGAUACAAGUAGCGAUUUUGGGCAAUGAAGUAUCUAUUUAUAUGUGGCAUUUCUAGGGUCAUGGAUAUAACCCAAAUUCAUACCCAUGGGUUUUAUGAUCCAUGGUUCAUGUAGCCCAACUCUUAAUGUAUCCAUAAUAAACUUGGUCCAACAUGGAUCAUAAUCCCCAACACAUAUAAAUAUAACUAAUUAUCAUAAUUAGUCCCCAUAGAUUUAAUUAGUCUCUUUUGACCACUAAAUUAAUUCCAAAUUAAUUCUUGAUCAAUACUAACUAAAACAUAUGAAUUCAUAUUAAUAUAUUAUUACUUAUUAGAUAUUAAUAAACCAUAAAUAACCUUCUCUCAAAAGUCCAUCCUAACAAAUUCUCCUGAUGAUAUGCAACCCAGAUGGACCAUGCUACUCUCGGGUCGAAUACAUACCAAUAAUAGUUAUGGACUUAGACACCUAACCCAAUAGUCUCCCACUUGGAUAAGUCUAAAAGUAUUAUUCACGUAUGACUCCAAGAUCCUGACUAGCAAUCGUAGCUUUUAAAGCCGCUGUCAAGCUCUAAACAAAUCAAAUGGCAUGUCCAUUAGAUAAGGGAUCAUAUAUUCCUCCAUUCUAGAUAUCAUAUGGACUGAGACAUGGAUUAUAAUCAUUCUCUCUGUCCAUUUGUUGUUUCCCGAUUUCAGAUUUAUGACGACUGACUAAUUAAACAAAUCAAAUCAGUCCAGGCCCGGCCGAGCACUUACGUUUGUCAUCACCAAAUCAUUGAGGGGCCCACAUAUAUCGCUUUUAUCCCGAAGGUAAAAGGAAUGGAUAAACUUAGACUCAUAUGGCUUCUUCUACUACUUGUUGAAUCAUACACAAAGGCACGUUUAAUAACAUCGAGUUACCGAAUGCGUUUUCAUGCAAUCAAUGUACAACCAACUCAUAAUAACAACUCAUAUAUAUAGGUUUGAAGAAUAUAAGAUAUUAUCGUCUCAUGAUCACUCAUGAUAAAAUCCAUGAAGUGAUUCAAAUGAUCAUGGGUUGAAUCCAAUACUCGAAUCCCUAUUCUAGGAGUACUCAUGAAUGUUGCAGUAACUCUUACUAUGCCCACUACCUUGGACAUCUACAAACUCGAUUCAUGACAGUCUUGCCUUAAUACCUACUUCCAACGUAUUAUCAACUGUGUAUGGUUUGAAUAACUUAGUCAUUCAGAAUGAAUGACCUAGGUAUUCUGGAAGUCAAAACAUGCAAAGUGAAACACAAGAAUAAUACUAAUCCUCUAUGGUCCCAAGCACCUUUGAGAGUAAAUAAAACACCUUUUAUUUAAACACCAUAUUGAUUACGCAUUAUUCAUUGUAUAAUGUUUCAAAUAAUCAACUUUAUACUUGAAUUAACUAUAAUUGUCCCAUGCUUCAAGCAUGUAAACUAUGCUUUGUAAACACUAGUCAUGCCAUACAUGAAGUAUGCACACUAUGUUUAUCUAUGAUCUUUACUUUGUGAAAUAGAUCAAUUGAAUAUGAUUCCAAUGAUGCUCAUUUCACAAUCCCAAAUCUUUAUCGUAAAUGUAAGAAUUCCAAAUCCCUACAAUUUAACAAAAUAUGUUAGAUUCUAAACUNAUUCUAAACUAUUUGCAUUGAUCCUCUCGUAAUGACUAUGCACAAAGUCACAAAGCCUUGUCAACAAUCAUUAUAGAGUAUCCCAAUGGAGAGCAUUCCAUGGAAUCAAAGUCUCAAAUUCAAAGUACAUUGUUUUUAACAACCUUCUUGCAUUAAUUUUCCUAAUCUUACACAGAUUAAAUGAACAACUUCUACCUUUGGGAAUAUUUCCAUAUUCUCAUUUUGACUGUCACUUCUGAACAAGAGCUGCCUCUUUUCAGAAUGUGUCAAUUGUGGUCCUUUCCAAAAAUUAACACUAUAUUUCCAACUAUCCCUGAGCAACCAAUCUUUGGUAAACCUUAGAUUGUCCUCGAUAAUUGUUUAAUCAUUUAAGUCAUAUCCAAUUCUAGAUCUUAAUGCCUUAGGCAUUCAGAAAAUUUAGAAAGGUUAAAUAUUAUAGCACAUGCAAUCGAUCCUAUAUCCGAAGCAUAUGGGACACGAUUCAUGAUGUCUUACAUAAAUACAUGAUAAUAGACCAAUCUUUUGCUACAAUAUUUUUUUAUUUUGCCAUGUUCUCAAAAUUUGACUAUGAAGAGGGAUGCCGUAAUCAUAAUCGNUAUAGAUAUAUAUCCCUGACUAAAGAAGAUCAAAAUCUCAAUCUAAGCUUUUAGAAUUGAAAUGAAGUAUAAUUUCCUCUCCCUUAAUUAUAGCAAAACAACAUUUCCCAAUUGAAACCCUUUUGUUUUCUAUACUUAACACUUAACAUAAUAAUCAUGCUCCCACUAACAUGUUGAUUAUUAUCAUAACACUUAUGCUCCCACUAGCUUUUACAUGGACUCAGAAAAUUGCUGGACUUCUAGAAAUCAAUACUUUAUUGACUUUCUUACUAAAGUUCAGAUUUCUGAUACAAGAUGCUUCGAUAAAACUUUAUCAAAAUCAUACUCAUUUCCUCAGAUAGCUCAUAUGUGUGUCUAAACAAUUUUAUAGAACAAUGAAAAGGGAUACCAUAAUCAUAGUCUCAAUUGUUUAGACAUUUGCCAUUUCUGACAAGUCAAUACUAGUGUGCCGGUUAACCACACACACUCUACUAACGACUUUGAGAAUGCAAAUAUCACAAUUGCUAUCUACUAAAAAUCUACUUAGUGAAAGUGUUUGCUCACCAUCAUUUUCAUGAAUCAGAGAGAAACCUUCUAACACUUAGAUUUUAUGGUGUAUGUGUUCCUUUCCAUGUGAAUUUUGUCAAAACCAUAAUCACAAAACAAGGUUAGAGACAAUUUCAAAUUCAUAUGGACUGAGCUUGUGCAGUCUUAACUUCUUGUCAUCUGGCAGCACAAGGGCCUGCCACUGCUUCCAAGUUGUUGUGCAAUCACUUGAGGACUCUCAAAACUCCUAUGUAAAGCCAACUUUAACUGGAAUGGGCACAGAAAUGUCAACACGAUAGAUUAUAAACCUCAAAUCGUGUGCUAGUGAAGAAGUAUAGGUUUUAUUUUUGAUUAGUUCUUGAAACUUUCAAGACCUUGAAGACUCCCACUGUCCUCUUGAUAUAUAAGACUCUCUUGUCAAGAACCAUUGUUUGACAAAACAAAUAUUCAAGGGAAAGUGUGGAUUCUUAUCAAGACUAACACUUCACGCAAUUUGUCUAUGUUGAUCUCUAUUUUAUCCAAAACAUCACAACUUACCAUUUUCAAAUGUACAAGAGUAGAAAACAUUUUACUCUUACAUUUGACUAGUGUUAAUAAACCUUCUUCAAGAUAUGUCACUCAAGUUACAAUCUUGGAGUAUGACUCUAAGACUUUGUUUUGGAACGAAGUAUGACUCGUCUUCUUGAUUUAACCAUUCCAACAAUUCAUGUCUCCUCUUCUUAGCCAUAAGAAAUCACUAAGAUGUCCUUAGAGGAUCAUUUGUGAUAUGGUAUCUUAAUAAUUAAGAUGACCAUAAAACAUGAUACUAAAGUACUCUCCCAUCUUUUCAGAUUUUGAGAAACUUUUAUCUUUCUGCCUAAUUUGAUUCCUCUCAUUCGUUCUGCCAUACAUUGAAUAUUUUCCAAUGUUUCAGAAUUAUACUUAAACUUGUAAGUAUAAGCAUAUUUACUAAACUUUAGUAAAUCAUGAUGAAUAGUCUUAUCGAUAUUUAUGGUGAACUUGACUAGUGCACACGAGUGUGUACUCAAUCCCUUAUUCCUUUCACUUGACUUAAUUUUUCAAUGAUGAAAAUUCUCAUUCAUCAUACAACUUGUAUGAUUCCAAGUUUCGGUCCAAUUGAAACAUGGGUGAUGAGAAUCUUUCCUUAUUUGGAAAAUUAUGACACUACCACAUCCGAAAGAAUCAAAUCCAUUUUCCAAUAUUGCUAUCAAUGGAAUCAAAUAAACAACCAUUUUUCACAAAUAACACUGUAAGGAUAUUUAAAAUAAAUAAAAUAAAACCUUAUCUUUUGUUUAAAACUUACAAAAAACCUUUCCUUCCAAUGAAAAUGCAUAUGAAAAAUUUGUAGUUAUCUAUUCCUAAGCAAUAUAUCAUAACUCUUAAGCAGCAACUCACAAUUCUGAUCACCGAACCAUGCAUCGAAAUCCAUCUUCGCAAUCAGAAUCAGCAUAUACUUCCUUUAAGCUUCCUCUCUUCGAUUCUACAAAACAUUAAAAUGUGAUCUGGUCACACCAUGUAUAAGAAUCUCAAAUAGGAACUUAAUAGAUUUAGAUAGUGCACUUUACCCGAAGUAAAGUCAAACUCUUUGACAUUACCAACCUUAUGAGUGUUCAGGUAAAUUAGGCAGCUUCGCAACCAAUGCCCUAUCCUUUGGCAAUAGAAGGUUUAUGGAGUUGAUCUUCUAAUCAAAUUCGCUUUACUAGCCCUCAAAUCAUUUUUGAUUCAGCAGCACCAAGCAAAUAGGUAAGAUCAUUAAGGGUCAAGUCAUGGUCUGUCACAUAGUAGUGCCAAAAGAACUCACUAUGUGACUUAGAAAGUGAUUGAACAUCAAUCUUUCUCAAGACUUUGACACUCAACUCUCCCAACUUGUCAAUAUGUGACUUCAUCUCCAAGAUGUGAUCACACAUACAUCUUGUUUGCCAAUAGGGCUUGAGUGACCUUGAACUUGUGGGUUAGGGAGAAUAAUUGGAGGGGGUGGAGGAAGUGAAAUUCUAAGAGAUUUGGGUAGAUCAUAGAUGUCUAAACUAGACAUCUAAAAUGGGAGAUAUUCAAGUUAGUUUAUUUUUAAGUCCUUAAUAUAACAACCAAUAUGAAACCCAACACAAUAUUUUAUAACUUGGAAGAGGGAUGCUGUAAUCCAAGCUAUAAGAUAUUUGAAGGUAGGUGAAUGACGAUUCACCAAUUUCCAGCAUGAAAAACUAAAUAAUUUAUUAGGUUUUAAUUGGAUUUGAAACUCCUAGAUCUUUUGAGAUUCAUUGAACUUUUC